AUUGAACGCUGGCGGCAUGCCUUACACAUGCAAGUCGAACGGCAGCACGGGGCAACCUGGUGGCGAGUGGCGAACGGGUGAGUAAUGCAUCGGAACGUACCUUUCAGUGGGGGAUAACGUAGCGAAAGUUACGCUAAUACCGCAUAUUCUGUGAGCAGGAAAGCAGGGGAUCGCAAGACCUUGCGCUGAUUGAGCGGCCGAUGUCAGAUUAGCUAGUUGGUGAGGUAAGGGCUCACCAAGGCGACGAUCUGUAGCGGGUCUGAGAGGAUGAUCCGCCACACUGGAACUGAGACACGGUCCAGACUCCUACGGGAGGCAGCAGUGGGGAAUUUUGGACAAUGGGGGCAACCCUGAUCCAGCCAUGCCGCGUGAGUGAAGAAGGCCUUCGGGUUGUAAAGCUCUUUCGGCCGGGAAGAAAUCGUAUCAGCUAAUACCUGGUGCGGAUGACGGUACCGGCAUAAGAAGCACCGGCUAACUACGUGCCAGCCGCCGCUGUAAGAC
rnacentral:rRNA from 1 species